rnacentral:rRNA from 1 species
GACGAACGCUGGCGGCGUGCUUAACACAUGCAAGUCGAACGGUGAAGCGCCUUCCUUUUUGGUGGGUGUGGAUGAGUGGCGAACGGGUGAGUAACACGUGAGUAACCUGCCCCCUUCUUCUGGAUAACCGCAUGAAAGUGUGGCUAAUACGGGAUAUUCUGGGUCUGUCGCAUGAUGGGUCUGGGAAAGAUAUUGUUUCGGUGGGGGAUGGGCUCGCGGCCUAUCAGCUUGUUGGUGGGGUGAUGGCCUACCAAGGCGGUGACGGGUAGCCGGCCUGAGAGGGUGGACGGUCACACUGGGACUGAGACACGGCCCAGACUCCUACGGGAGGCAGCAGUGGGGAAUAUUGCACAAUGGGCGCAAGCCUGAUGCAGCGACGCCGCGUGAGGGAUGGAGGCCUUCGGGUUGUGAACCUCUUUCGCCAGUGAAGCAGGCCUGCCUCGUUUGUGGGUGGGUUGACGGUAGCUGGAUAAGAAGCGCCGGCUAACUAC